rnacentral:rRNA from 1 species
GACGAACGCUGGCGGCGUGCUUCAUACAUGCAAGUCGAACGAGAAGCUGACUUCGGUCAGUGGAAAGUGGCGGACGGGGGAGUAAUAUGUAGGAAAUCUGCCUUUAGCAGGGGGACAACAGUGCUAAACUUCUGCUAAUACCCCAUAUGAGCGUAGCUUAAAUGCUAUUCUUGAAAACUCCGGUGCCUAAAGUUGGGCCUGGAUCUGAUUAGCUAGUUGGUAGUGUAAUGGACUACCAAGGGGACGAUCAGUAGCUGGUUCGAGGGGAUGAUCAGCCAAAACGGGAAUGAGACACCGGCCAAGCUUCUUCGGGGAGGAGGAGGAGGGAAUUUUGCGCAAUGGGCGGAAGCCUGAAGCAGCAACGGCGGGUGAACGAAUAAAGCCUUCGGGGUGUUAAAUUCUGUUAGUGCGGACGGAAAUUGACGGUACCCAGAGAAGAAGCACCGGCUAACUCCGUG